UACUGCUAGCAUCUAGUGAGUGGAGGCCAGAGAUGCUGCUGAACAUCCUGCGAGGCACAGGAUAGCCCCUCAGGGCAAAGAAUUACUUUGCCCAAAAGGUUUUGCAGAAGAAUCAAAUCCUGAGUGAACAGAUAUUGUGGCCUGUGAAACCAAAGAGAGAUGCUGAACGUUUCAAGUAUGUUCUUUACUGACUGUCAAAGCAAAGUAUACACAAAAAC
rnacentral:lncRNA from 13 species